rnacentral:rRNA from 1 species
UAAUGCAGUCGAGCGGACUUCUUAAAGCUUGCUUUUAAGAAGUUAGCGGCGGACGGGUGAGUAACACGUGGGCAACCUGCCCUGUAGAUCGGGAUAACAUCGAGAAAUCGGUGCUAAUACCGGAUAAUUUCUAGAGUCUCAUGACUUUAGGAUAAAAGAUGGCUCCGGCUAUCACUGCAGGAUGGGCCCGCGGCGCAUUAGCUAGUUGGUAAGGUAACGGCUUACCAAGGCGACGAUGCGUAGCCGACCUGAGAGGGUGAUCGGCCACACUGGGACUGAGACACGGCCCAGACUCCUACGGGAGGCAGCAGUAGGGAAUCUUCCGCAAUGGACGAAAGUCUGACGGAGCAACGCCGCGUGAGUGAUGAAGGAUUUCGGUUCGUAAAACUCUGUUGUUAGGGAAGAACACGUGCCAUUCGAAUAGGGUGGCACCUUGACGGUACCUAACCAGAAAGCCACGGCUAACUACGUGCCAGCAGCCGCGGUAAUACGUAGGUGGCAAGCGUUGUCCGGAAUUAUUGGGCGUAAAGCGCGCGCAGGCGGUCUUUUAAGUCUGAUGUGAAAGCCCCCGGCUCAACCGGGGAGGGUCAUUGGAAACUGGGAGACUUGAGUGCAGAAGAGGAGAGUGGAAUUCCACGUGUAGCGGUGAAAUGCGUAGAUAUGUGGAGGAACACCAGUGGCGAAGGCGACUCUCUGGUCUGUAACUGACGCUGAGGCGCGAAAGCGUGGGGAGCAAACAGGAUUAGAUACCCUGGUAGUCCACGCCGUAAACGAUGA